CCUUUGACGUUAGCGGCGGACGGGUGAGUAACACGUGGGUAACCUACCUAUAAGACUGGGAUAACUUCGGGAAACCGGAGCUAAUACCGGAUAAUAUUUCGAACCGCAUGGUUCGAUAGUGAAAGAUGGUUUUGCUAUCACUUAUAGAUGGACCUGCGCCGUAUUAGCUAGUUGGUAAGGUAACGGCUUACCAAGGCGACGAUACGUAGCCGACCUGAGAGGGUGAUCGGCCACACUGGAACUGAGACACGGUCCAGACUCCUACGGGAGGCAGCAGGU
rnacentral:rRNA from 1 species